rnacentral:ncRNA from 1 species
CAAUAAGCGAUGAUGAGAAGGAGUAAUGUUAUUCGAUUCUUACAGAAAGGGAGCACUAGGCUGAGAGGCUCCUAGAUAGAUGAUAUGAAGCAGUCUCUAAGCUAUAACCUUGAACAAUAAGAGUAGAGGUUAUCGGUUAAUCCGUUAUCUUAAAGGUUUUCCUGAGCGGCCGUAUCAAACGGUAAUUAGGGUGGUACCGCGAGAAUAUAACUCUCGUCCCUACU